UCCGAAGGAGGCAAGCGUUGUUCGGAAUGACUGGGCGUAAAGGGCGUGUAGGCGGUUUAAUACGUUUGAUGUGAAAUGCCUGGGCUUAACCGAGGGAGGGCAUCAGAUACGGUUAGACUAGAGACCGAGAGGGGAAAAUGGAAUUGCGUGUGUAGAGGUGAAAUUCGUAGAGAUGCGCAGGAACACCGGUGGCGAAGGCGAUUUUCUGGAUCGGGUCUGACGCUGAGGCGCGAGAGCGUGGGGAGAAAACAGG
rnacentral:rRNA from 1 species